AUGGCCACGGCCGCCGCCGACGCCGCCGCCGCCGUCCCUGACGCCCGGAGGUGGAGCAAGGCCGGCCCUUCGUCGCCGGUCACCACCGCCAUCUUCCUCUUCUUCUUCGUCGUCGUGGUCGGCGUCCUCGUCUCCGCCCGUUGGAUCACCACCACCACUCAUCUGGCAAUCACCAAUCUGGAUCAGUGGCGCACACAGCCGGCAAUCCUGACGGCCACGCUUACCACCUCCAUCCCCGCCAUCCCGGCCGGCCCGCCGCCGCCGCGCCCCACCUACUCCCUCUCCUGCUCGGCGCCGCCGCUCACCCGCGACCCCGACAUCCCCAGCAACAUCUCCCAGACCCUCUCCCUCGCGCUCUCCUCCAACGCCACCUGCGCCUCCGUCCCCGACCCCCAGCCGAUCCCCCCCGCCGCCGCCGCCGACGCCGACGCCAACGCCACCUGCCCCACCUACUUCCGCUUCAUCCACGAGGACCUCCACCCAUGGCGCGCGGUGGGGGGCAUCACGCGCGCGAUGCUCGACCGCGCGCGCGCCACCGCCAACUUCCGCCUCGUCGUGCUCCGCGGCCGGGCCUACAUCGAGCGCAUCGCGCCGGCCUUCCAGACGCGCGACCUCUUCACCAUUUGGGGCAUCCUCCAGCUGCUCCGCCGCUACCCUGGCCGCGUCCCCGACCUCGACCUCAUGUUCGACUGCGUGGACUGGCCGGUUGUCCACGCCGACGAGUACCAGGGGGACAACGCCACCGCCAUGCCGCCGCUUUUCCGCUACUGCGGCGACAACGAGACGCUCGACGUAGUCUUCCCGGACUGGUCCUUCUGGGGCUGGGCCGAGAUAAAUAUAAAGCCGUGGGAUGCACUGCAGAAGGAUUUGAAUGAAGGCAAUAAGAAGGUGAGAUGGAUAGAUAGAGAACCUUAUGCUUACUGGAAAGGGAAUCCAGACGUCGCAGCUAUAAGGCAAGAGCUGGUUAAGUGUAAUGUGUCCAGUGAACAAGAAUGGAAUGCACGGAUUUUCAAACAGGAUUGGAUCAAAGAAAGCAAGGCAGGAUACAAGAAAUCAAAUUUGGCCAGUCAAUGCACCCAUAGGUACAAGAUCUACAUUGAAGGAUCAGCAUGGUCAGUCAGUGAGAAGUAUAUCCUAGCUUGUGAUUCCAUGACGCUGGUGAUUAAACCAAAAUACUACGAUUUCUUCUCAAGGGUGCUGAUGCCCACUCAGCAUUAUUGGCCAGUUCGAGAUGACAAUAAGUGUGGCUCCAUAAAGUAUGCUGUUGACUGGGGAAAUUCUCACAAGAAAAAGGCACAUCAAAUAGGAAAGAAGGCAAGCAAGUUCAUUCAACAAGAACUUAGUAUGGACUAUAUAUACGAUUACAUGUUUCACCUCUUAACUGAGUAUGCUAAGCUCCUAAGAUUCAAGCCAACCAAGCCACCUGAAGCUGUUGAGGUCUGUCCCGAAUCUUUGGCCUGCCAAGCCAUAGGUCGGGAGAAGAAGUUUAUGCAAGACUCCAUGGUGAAGUCUGCUAACGUUGCAGGCCCAUGCAAUCUGCCUCCUCCCUUCAGCCCUGAGGAAUACAAAAAGCUACAACAGAGGAAAGAAAAGUCAAUUAAACAGGUCGAAACGUUGGAUCAAAAUGCUUCAAAGCUCGAGGAGCGAAAUUCUUCAAAACCUGAGGAUAGCAAUCCCGGGGAACGAAAUGCUUCAAAACCUGAGGAUAGCAAUCCCGAGGAGCGAAAUGCUUCAAAGCCCGAGGAGCAAAAUGCUUCAAAACCUGAGGAUAGCAAUCCCAAGGAGCGAAAUGCUUCAAAGCCCGAGGAGCGAAAUGCUGCAAAGCCCGAGGAGUGA
rnacentral:rRNA from 1 species